ACAUUGCUGGCCUUCCUCGUCCUCAUUCUCAUCCUCCUCCUUCUCUACAAGACAUCGCUGGCCCUCCUCUUCCUCUUCUACCAGGCAUUGCUGGUCCUCCUCCUCCUCUAUCAGACAUUGAUGAUCAUCCACCUCCUCAUCCUCAUCCUCCUCCUUCACUACCAGACAUCGCUGGCCUUCCUCCUCCUCCUCCUCCUCCUUCUCUCCCAGACAUCACUGGCCCUCUUGAUCCUCCUCCUGCUACUCCUCCUCCUCCUACUCUAUGAGACAUUCAGGGCACUUGUCCUCCUCCUCUGCCAGACAUUGCUGGCCCUCCUCCUGGUCUACCAGAAAUUCCUGCCCCCCUCCUACUCCUCUACCAGACUUUGCUGGCCUUGCUUCUCCUCCUCCUCCACCAGAUGUUGCUGGCCAUCCUCCUCCUCUUCCUGCUCUACCAGACAUCAUUGGCACUCCUCCUCCUCUACCAGACAUUAAGGGCCCUCUUCCUCCUCCUCCUCUAACAUACAUUGCUGGCCCUCUUCCUCCUGUUCUUCCAGACAUCGCUGGCCUUCCUCCUGCUCCUCCCCCUCCGCCCUCUCCUCAUCUAACAUACUUUGCUGGGCCUCCUCCUCCUUCACUGGGCAUCUCUGGCCUUGUUCCUCCUCCUCCUCCUCCUCCUUACUGGGCAUCUCUGGCCUUGUUCCUCCUCCUCCUCCUCCUCCUCCUCCUGCUCUUCUUCUAUAACACACAUCGCUAGCCCUCCUCUUCCUCUUCUACCAGACAUCACUGACCCUCCCCCUCCUCCUCCUCCUGUACCAGACAUUGCUGGCCCUCUUCCUCCUCCUUCUGCUUCUCUACCAGACACCCCUGGCCCUCCUCCUCCUCUUUUACCAGGCAUUGCUGACCCUCCUCCUCCUCCUCUAUGAGACAUUGCUGACACUCCUCCUCCUCCACCUCCUCCUGCACCAGAUAUGGCUGGCACUUUUCCUCCUCGUCCUACUCCUCUAGCAGACAUCGCUGGCCCUGCUCCUCCUCCUCCUCCUUCUCUUCCUCUACCAGACAUUGCUGGCCUUCCUGCUCCACCAACUCCUUCUCCUUCACCUCCUCCUGCUCAUCAUCAUCAUGCUCCUCCUCCUCAUUCUCUACCAGACAUCUCUGGCCUUCCUCCUACUCCUCCUCAUCCUCUUCCUUCUCUUCCAGACGUCGCUAGUCCUUCUCCUCCGCCUCCUCCUCCUCUACCAGACGUUGCUGGCCCACCUCCUCCUCUACCAGACAUUGCUGGCUCUCCUCCAAUUCCUCCUCCUCUACCAGACAAUUCUGGCCUUCCAGCUCCUCAUCCUCAUCCUGUUCCUUUUCUACCAGACAUCGCUGGCAUUCCUCCUCCUCCUCCCCCUUGUUUUCCUCCUCCUCCUCUACCAGACAAUUCUGGCCUUCCAGCUCCUCAUCCUCAUCCUGUUCCUUUUCUACCAGACAUCGCUGGCAUUCCUCCUCCUCCUCCCCCUUGUUUUCCUCCUCUUUCUCUACCAGACAUCACUGGCCCUCCUCCUCCUCCUCCUGCUACUAAUCCUCCUCCUCUUCUACCAGAUAUUCAGGGCACUCAUCCUCCUUCUCCUCUAACAGACACUGAUGGCCUUCCUCCUCCUCUACCAGACAUCUCUGGCCUUCCUCCUCAUCCUCCUCCUCCUCCUCCUCCACCAGACUUCGCUGGCCCUCCUCCUCCUCUUCUACCAGACAUCACUGACCCUGGUGCUCCUCCUCUUCCUCCUGUACUAGACAUUGCUGGCCUUCUUCCUCCUCCUCCUACUCCUCUACCAGAAUUCUCUGACCCUACUCCUCCUACUCUUACAGACAUCUCUGGCCCUCUUCCUCCUCCUCCUCAUCCUCUACCAUACAUUGCUGGCCUUCCACCUCCUCCUCUACCAGACAUCCCUUGCCCUUUUCCUCCUUCUCUACCAGACAUCGCUGGUCCUCCUCCUCUUCUACCAGACAUUGCUGGCCCUGCUGCUCCUCCUCUUCUUCCUGUACUAGACAUUGCUGGCUUUCUUCUUCCUCCUCCUACUCCUCUACCAGACCUCUCUGACCAUACUCCUCCUACUCUUACAGACAUCUCUGGCCCUCUUCCUCCUCCUCCUCAUCCUCUACCAUACAUUGCUGGCCUUCCACCUCCUCCUCUACCAGACAUCCCUUGCCCUUUUCCUCCUUCUUCUCUACCAGACAUCGCUGGUCCUCCUCCUCUUCUACCAGACAUUGCUGGCCCUGCUGCUCCUCCUCUUCGUCCUGUACUAGACAUUGCUGGCCUUCUUCCUCCUCCUCCUACUCCUCUACCAGAACUCUCUGACCCUACUCCUCCUACUCUUACAGACAUCUCUGGCCCUCUUCCUCCUCCGCCUCCUCUACCAUACAUAGCUGGAUUUCCACCUCCUCCUCUACCAGACAUCCAUUGCCCUCCUCCUCCUUCUCCUCUACCAGACAUCACUGACCCUCCUCCUCCUCCUCUACCAGACAUUGCUGGCCCUCUUCCUCCUCCUCCUCCUACUCAUCUACCAGACAACACUAACUCUCCUCCUCCUCCUCUACCAGACAUCGCCGACCCUCUGCCUCCUCCUCCUUCUCCUCUACCAUACAUUGAUGGCCCUCCAUCUACACCUCUGCCAGACAUCCCUGGCUCCCCUCCGCAUCCUCCUCCUCCUCCUCAUUCUCCUCUAACAGACAUCACUGGCCCUCCUCCUCCUCUUCUACCAGCCCCUCCUCCUCCUCCUCUACAAGACAUUGUGUGUCCCCCUCCUCCUCCUCCUCUACCAUACUUAGCUGGCCUUCCUCCUCCUCCUCUAGUGGACCUCUCUGGCCCUCCUUCUCAUCCUCUUCCUCCUUCUCCUUUUUCUCCUCCUCCUUCUCUAGCACACAUCACUGGCCCUCCUCCUCCUCUUCUACCAGACAUCAUUGACCUUCCUCGUACUACUCCUCCUCUACCAGACAUUG
rnacentral:lncRNA from 1 species